rnacentral:misc_RNA from 1 species
CUCAUCAAUUGCAGGCGAGAUUUUUUAUGGGAAUCCUUGGGAAUUGUCUCAGAAGAUGAAGUAUUUUCAUCAUCCAAGAGGUUGUCCACUUGUAACACAGGAAGCAACAUCAAUAAUCAAAGCCCUCUUGAAACACCCCCAAGGAGGGGCAGAGCUGCAUCUCGGCUCGCUCACGAGAAAAUGAAAAGGGUACCUAUGACAACAAAAAAGACAAGAGGAACAUGUCAGGUUAUUUUCAAGGGAGACUCCUUUGAAAGCAGCUCCAGUUAUAAAGAAGAAGUAAAAGGAGCAGACUCUGGUCAUGGGGAAAAUUGUGAGUCUCAUUUUGAAGAGAUGGAAUAUGAAUCAACUGUUGAUCCUUGUGAAUCAGCUGUUAAUCCUUUAGCACUAGACACACCAAGUAAGAAGAAUGAUGGUGUAAAAUGUCUAAGUGUUAAAGUCAGUCUUGAAAGAUUAUCUCAUUUACACACAUCUCAAGAAGUAGAUAGUUCAAAAGAUACAACACAAGUUACUGUUACAAAUGCAUAUCAGGAGGAAGGUGUAGGUUGUAUUAGUGAAACAACUUGUUCAUACUCUAACCUCAGGUUAGAAGACAGCGACGAUAACAAAAGCACCAGAAUAAAGGAACUGGAUGUUCAGAGAUCAGGGAAUGAGAUGUGUAAAGGCAAAGAAAAAGAAGAGCCUUUAUCUCCCAAUAAUUGUACUGAAAAUGCAUGUACAAAAUGUGAGAAUUAUGACGAGUGUAAUUCUCAAUCCAGAACCCCUGAAGAAGUUAGGAUUUUGCCAGAGCAAACAGAAAAACUUGUUACAACCAAUACCAAGUGGUCGAACCACUCGAACAAAACAAAAGGAAUUGCAGUUAUCAACACGAGGAGAUAUAACAGAUAAUAUGGUAAGCACAGCAGAUCAGCCUCAUCCCAUUCCCAAACCAAGAUUAACUCGUACAAAGCAAAAGGAGGUCUUACCAUUGCUCAAUACAAUUGAUGAAUCAGAAGGUCAGUUGUUACCACCCAUGGACUUUCCAAAACCAAGAAUGACUCGCACAAAGACUAAGGCAAAAGAACAGACUAACAAAUUUGAAAAUGUGGAAUAUGAUUCACAGUCUUCAGUAGAGGAGGGGUAUAAUACCCAUGAGAAAGCUGUUGCACAGCCAUCUGAGGAAAUCCCAAUGUCUCGUUCUACUCGUACAAAGAAAAAGGUGAUAGAGGUAAUUUCCUUAACUGACACUCCAGUCAAGAAUGACAUUAAUAAAUCAGUAGACAAUGAAUCACAAAAACCAAGGACAACAAGAACAAAGAAACGAAUGUUUGACGAGUUAGGUGUAGAUCAGCCUACUAGAUCUACAAGGACAAAGUGUAAGAAAAUGGAAGAACAACCUGAAAAAGAAUCUGUGGCUUCAGAAAAACUUGGUCUAUGUUUAUUUCUUACUGAAUCUGAAGAUGAGAAAGACGGCAAAUCAUCUCAGGUUGUACAGAAAUCACCACUUGUUAGGUCUGUUCCAUCAGUAACAUCUAUGAAGCCAUCACAAUCAGCGACCUCCUAUACCUCUGAGAAUACUGUAAUGGCUGCUACAUCUACUCAGAACACAGAAAUUGGGCCGGUUCGCCGGAUAAUCGAUCUAAGGUGCGCCAGUUGCCAGCUUUAUUAUUAAGCCCUUGUCCAUCGUCGUCAACUGUCCAAGUUGUAACUCCAGGUAGUCCAGUACACACUAGUUUUAAGCGUGCUUGCUGUACACCAAAUUCAGACAAGGACUCUCCAAUGUCUUCUACUGUACGCCAGAAGGGGACACGCGCGAUGACCCCUGUAAAACAUUCUCCACGAACAUUUGCUGGCUCAAAAACAGGCUGUACUGUACGAGAAUUGGCAACUGCAUAUCAGAAUCACAUUGGAGAAACCCUUAAUGAGGUUGAAGAGCUAACUUCUGAGGAGUGUGAGGUAACACACUCCCCAGCUC